rnacentral:rRNA from 1 species
AGCAGCCGCGGUAAUUCCAGCUCCAAUAGCGUAUAUUAAAGUUGUUGCAGUUAAAAAGCUCGUAGUUGAAUUUCGGGAUCAGUACGCCGGUCGUGCCUCCGGUAUGUACUGGUGUUACUGGUUCCUACCUUCUGACGAACCGUCAUGUCAUUAAUUUGGUGUGGCGGGGAAUCAGGACUGUUACUUUAGAAAAAAUUAGAGUGUUUAAAGCAGGCUCGCGCUUGAAUACAUUAGCAUGGAAUAAUGAAAUAGGACGUUCGAUCCUAUUUUGUUGGUUUCUAGGAUUGACGUAAUGAUUAAUAGGGAUAGGUUGGGGGCAUUAGUAUUCAAUUGUCAGAGGUGAAAUUCUUGGUAUUUAUUGAAGACUAACUACCGCGAAAGCAUUUGCCAAGGAUGUUUUCAUUAAUCAAGAACGAAAGUUAGGGGAUCGAAGACGAUCAGAUACCGUCGUAGUCUUAACCAUAAACUAUGCCGACUAGGGAUCGGAUGAUGUUAUUUUUAAUGACUCAUUCGGCGCCUU